rnacentral:lncRNA from 1 species
ACAUGUAUUUGUACAACACAACACAACAUAUAAAAAUAAUUACUUAUAAUUUAAGGCAUUACAAAGGGUGAAUACUGAACAACACCUUUUGAACAUCUUCCAUCGAGACUGAAGGAAUUAGAUUCACCUUUUCAUUUUCUAAGAAGAUUGAAAAUCGACCUCUACAAGGAAAGCAACCAAUAGGUUAAGGCUCCACCAAGUAGAAUUGUUUGUAAAAACCAACUGCAUGCUGUUAAAGAACCUCAUCAUCAAAACACCACCUAG